UGGGGAAUCUUGCGCAAUGGGCGAAAGCCUGACGCAGCCAUGCCGCGUGAAUGAUGAAGGUCUUAGGAUUGUAAAAUUCUUUCACCGGGGACGAUAAUGACGGUACCCGGAGAAGAAGCCCCGGCUAACUUCGUGCC
rnacentral:rRNA from 1 species